rnacentral:lncRNA from 1 species
AAUGAAUGAAUGAAUGAACAAACAAACAGUAAAGUUUGAAAAUAAAUGUUUGAUAGCUUAGAAUUGAGUUAUUGCUCAGUAGGAACAUUGGAUUUGAAACUCUAAUUUUGUAUUCUGUCGUUCUAGAGUGACCCCCUAGUGUUUAGUUUACAUGUUUAGUUUCCCAGAGGAGCAGAAAGGAGACAAAAGUUGAUGACUCCUGAAUUGGAAGUUCUUUCUUUUGAGUUCCUCCUUGUCUUCUCGCCGUAUUGUACCAGCCACUCUCCAUUGUCUCUAGCUUGACAGAUCUACAUGGGUAGUCUUGUCUUCCUCCUCCAAUUUCAGUUCAAAACACUCCUUGAAGAGAUUGGUCAAGUUGAUAAAAGCAAUCCAAGAGUCUUCAAUUUUCACGAGCCACAAAAGUGAAAAAGGGAGGAUCUUUUUUUUUGAAGUAUCAGCAGGUGGGCUAUGGAACUUGGCGGAAAGCACAAAAGAUCUGAGGAUAAAGGAACCCAAUGAUCUGCUUGGAGAACUGCCCUUUGAGGUUGACAAUGGAUCUGCAGUGGUUCCCUGAAGAGUAUGAUUACAUAGAAACACCUGCUUGCUCUUAGGAUGAUUCAGGAAGGA